rnacentral:lncRNA from 1 species
GGUUUUAUUCUGCCGUCAGACAUUUAGCUUGAUGGCCGCAGUAUCGUCCGUGUUUGAUGAAAUCUAGCCCACUGAUAUCGCAAAAUCAUGUGGUGUUGAAUAAACAUCGUUGACUGCUUAUAGGAUUUCGGAGGACGAUCUCAUCUCAGUCUUAUGGAGUUGCUGGAAGGUGUUGAUCAUCAAUUCAAAAAUAUUUGGUGGCUUCUUAAGAGAUCUAUGAUGGAUUGUUUGAAAAUUUAUAGUCUUUAGUGAAAAGAUAUAUGGCAGUUGAUGAAACGGGGUCAUGCCAUUUUAUGUGAACGAUGAGAUCUUUGGUGCUGAGACCACAAACUCAUAGGAAGUUGCAAUGUGAAUGUAACACGUUGAAAUUUACAAGGAGGUCAGAGUCGGAAAAUCCCAAGUCAAACAUGGGACUUAUUUUAAGCCCAAAUCGAUGCUUUAAAAGAAGUGUUCAAGAUAUCAAGAUCUAAACAAAGAUAUAUAAGAUCCACCAUGUUUUAUUAGUGUAUCGUUCAAAAUUCAAUCCUUUGCUUUGGCGUCCAAUGCGACAUUGCAUAGAUUAUGAUCAUGCAUAGAUAGAAAUUGGUGCACAUAAUUGGGAAAUUUAGAGCCACUUGUCUUUCAAGGAGAUGGACUGAUCUCAAAGUUCAAAUGGUGGUGAGAUUUCCAUGUUUUCCUCCAGCUCAUAGAUAGAAGACUACUUUGAACAACAGAUCUAGUAUUUUUAUGAAUGAACAAAUGUAACUAAUGUAGCGGUGCUAGACUUUCCAAAUCCGGCCCCAGGGCCACCUUGGAUCGACUUUUCUUUAUUAGAUUCUCAAGAGUUUUAUGCCUUUACUAGUAUCAUACAUUUUUUAGAUAAAAAUUGUUCCAUUGUCUGUUUCUUCU